ACUAAUGAGAUAAUUAACAAACAACAGGUGAACAGAAUGAUUAAUCAAAGACAAACUGGGUCAAAACACAGAGGAAACACAGAAAACAGCAUACACGUUGCAUUACUGCUCCAUAAUGCUAUUUUAUCAAAAUAUUUCUUUGUUGGAAAAACACUCACCCUGAAGUGAUGCCAUGAUCACAGUUUAGCUGCUCAAAGAUGCUUUCACUACACGUUCUUCUGCACUGUAAAAGUAAUUGUUGGUAUAACAUGAAAAAAUAAUAUAAAACUGCUUCAUUGAACAGUGCCUAUAAUCACAGAAGACAGAUCACAGGCAUAAAUGUCCAAGCGUGGGGAAGGUGAACAUCAUUGAUCAGAAUGACUUAAAUCUCACAGUAGUGAAGGAAGUUCCUCAGUGGACCGUGAGGACCUCUCUGCCCCUCUGGUGCAGGACGUCAGAAACUACUUCCAGAUCAGCCAAGAGUAUUUCUCCAUGCUGCUCGUUGGGAAAGACGGCAAUGUGAAAUCCUGGUACCCCUCCCCUAUGUGGUCCAUGUCAAUCAUUUACGAGCUGGUCGACUCCAUGCAGCUUCGCAGGCAGGAGAUGGCCAUCCAGCAGUCUCCAGGCCGUGUUGGCCCAGACGAUCCAUCCAUCCAUCCAUCCAUCCAUCCAUCCAUCCAUCCAUCCAUCCAUCCAAAAACUACUAAACUAAAACUAUUUCAAACUGAAAACCUUCAAACUUCAAGUCUUUUAAAACUCCAACUGACAAAAACUUUUCAUGUAGAUUCACUCUUGUCAUGAGGUAGAUUACUGUAGAUAAUACAGUGCUGUUAAUGUUUUUGAUUCUGACUUUUACUUGAAUGUAUUUGCAUGUGUGCAUGCAGUUUUUUAGCUAUACAUUUAUGAAUUAACAGCAAUAAAUAUGCAUUGCUAAUAAGGAAAA